GAGCGGCCCAGCUGCAGCCUCCGGGUGACAAAGGGUCCAGGGGCGACAGUCGAACCCCACAGAGCAGCCCGAGCCCAGCACACCCUGGACAGCGCCAUCUUCACAGCAGGGGAGGGAGCGCGGAGAGAGGUCGUCUCCGGGUCAGAGUGCGCCCCGCAGCACGCACGCGCCGCCCCUCCACGCCGACAGGCGGCUGCGAGCCGCCCCGCGCCCCCCGGGCGAGCCCGGGCGGGGACCCGGAUUGGACGCGGCGACGCUUCCGCGCGCAGGACCGGAAGCGAGCCUCCCCGAGGGAGCGAGCGCCGGCCCAGCCUGAGGUCGCUAUCGUGAGCCGAGGACGGCGUCUCCUUGAGGAACCCAGUGCCCUCGUCGGUCCCUGGGGGCUCGGGGCCGCGGGCGCUGCCCUUGACCUCUGUGGGAGCCCGGGGUCGUGGCCCCGAUGGCGGCGGCGCGGGGUGGCGCUGCGCCCUCUAGUGGCGGCGGCCGGCAGGGCUCCGCCCUCCAUCAAUCUGGCGGCAGGUGUAGAACCCCUUUCCAACCCUCGCUUUCUGGUCCUCACGCGCCCUUGUCACGGAGUAGGUGCGCGGUGGAUAUUUUUUGGAGAAAUGACUACUUGAAACUCGGAAGGGUUUCUAGGCGUCCAGCUGUCCGCGAGAGUCGACGGCCCUCUUGUGUCCAUAGGCAUUUUAACGGACGUGAAGCACGCUGAAGCCAUGCGUCUGCAGUCAGGUUUAGUGUGGGGGACCUUGGACAGGUCACUUCGGUGAACUUCAUGUGGGUUGUACCUGUGUUGCAGAAUUCUGUGAAGAUCGAAGGAUGAAAUGUUUGCAUGUUUGCAAAAGCUCCCACGUCUGUAGAACAUCUCCGUGUUUGGAGGGCUGGUGGUUUGAACAGUUGCAAAGCUGUUCUCUGCAAGAGGAGC
rnacentral:lncRNA from 1 species